rnacentral:rRNA from 1 species
CAUUUCUAACUGUUAUAAUAAUUAGUAAUACCUGCUCAAUGAAUAAUUUAAUAGCCGCGGAAAUUUAACCGUGCUAAGGUAGCAUAAUCAUUAGCCUCUUAAUUAGAGGCUUGUAUGAAUGGUUAAACAUUUCAAUUACUUUAUUUUUUAUUAACUUUUAAUUUAAACUAAGAAUUAAAAUGUUCUUAUUUAUUAAAUAGACGACAAGACCCUUUUGAACUUAACUUUAGUUUAGCUGGGGCAGCUAAUAAAAAAUUAUCUUUUUACUUUUAAUAAUAUAAAUGACCCAAUAAAAUUGAGAAAAUGAACAAGUUACCAUAGGGAUAACAGCGUAAUAUUUUUCUAAAGUUCUUAUUUAAAAAAAUGAUUGCGACCUCGAUGUUGAAUUAAUGUUACUAUAAAAUGCAAUAAUUUUAAGAGUAGGUCUGUUCGACCUUUAAACCAUUAC